rnacentral:rRNA from 1 species
GACGAACGCUGGCGGCGUGCCUAAUACAUGCAAGUCGAGCGCAGAAGGGUGGUACUUGUACCAACUGGAUGAGCAGCGAACGGGUGAGUAACGCGUGGGGAAUCUGCCUUUGAGCGGGGGACAACAUUGGGAAACGAAUGCUAAUACCGCAUAAAAACUUUAAACACAAGGUUUAAGAGUGAAAGACGCAAUUGCAUCAAUCAAAGAUGAGCUCGCGUCGUAUUAGCUUGUUGGUGAGGUAAAGGCCCACCAAGGCGAUGAUACCUAGCCCACCUGAGAGGGUGGUUGGCCACCUUGGGACUGGGACCCGGCCCCAACCCCCUCCGGGGGCAGCCGUAGGGCAACUUCGGCCAUGGGCGGAAGUCUGACCGAGCCACGCCGCGUGAGUGAAGAAGGUUUUCGGGUCCUAAAACUCUGUUGGUAGGGAAGAACGUUGUUUAGAGUGGAAAGCUCAUCAAGUGACGGUAACUACCCAGAAAGCGACGGCUAACUACGUG